AGUGAACGCUGGCGGUAGGCCUAACACAUGCAAGUCGAACGGCAGCACAGUAAGAGCUUGCUCUUACGGGUGGCGAGUGGCGGACGGGUGAGGAAUACAUCGGAAUCUACUUUUUCGUGGGGGAUAACGUAGGGAAACUUACGCUAAUACCGCAUACGACCUACGGGUGAAAGCAGGGGAUCUUCGGACCUUGCGCGAUUGAAUGAGCCGAUGUCGGAUUAGCUAGUUGGCGGGGUAAAGGCCCACCAAGGCGACGAUCCGUAGCUGGUCUGAGAGGAUGAUCAGCCACACUGGAACUGAGACACGGUCCAGACUCCUACGGGAGGCAGCAGUGGGGAAUAUUGGACAAUGGGCGCAAGCCUGAUCCAGCCAUACUGCGUGGGUGAAGAAGGCCUUCGGGUUGUAAAGCCCUUUUGUUGGGAAAGAAAAGCAGCAGGUUAAUACCCCGCUGUUCUGACUGUACCCAAAGAAUAAGCACCGGCUAACUUCGUG
rnacentral:rRNA from 1 species